GAACUGAAGAGUUUGAUCCUGGCUCAGAUUGAACGCUGGCGGGAUGCUUUACACAUGCAAGUCGGACGGCAGCACGGGCUUCGGCCUGGUGGCGAGUGGCGAACGGGUGAGUAAUGUAUCGGAACGUGCCCAGUAGCGGGGGAUAACUACGCGAAAGCGUGGCUAAUACCGCAUACGCCCUACGGGGGAAAGCGGGGGACCUUCGGGCCUCGCACUAUUGGAGCGGCCGAUAUCGGAUUAGCUAGUUGGUGGGGUAACGGCCUACCAAGGCGACGAUCCGUAGCUGGUUUGAGAGGACGACCAGCCACACUGGGACUGAGACACGGCCCAGACUCCUACGGGAGGCAGCAGUGGGGAAUUUUGGACAAUGGGGGCAACCCUGAUCCAGCCAUCCCGCGUGUGCGAUGAAGGCCUUCGGGUUGUAAAGCACUUUUGGCAGGAAAGAAACGGCACGGGCUAAUAUCCUGUGCAACUGACGGUACCUGCAGAAUAAGCACCGGCUAACUACGUGCCAGCAGCCGCGGUAAUACGUAGGGUGCAAGCGUUAAUCGGAAUUACUGGGCGUAAAGCGUGCGCAGGCGGUUCGGAAAGAAAGAUGUGAAAUCCCAGGGCUUAACCUUGGAACUGCAUUUUUAACUACCGGGCUAGAGUGUGUCAGAGGGAGGUGGAAUUCCGCGUGUAGCAGUGAAAUGCGUAGAUAUGCGGAGGAACACCGAUGGCGAAGGCAGCCUCCUGGGAUAACACUGACGCUCAUGCACGAAAGUGUGGGGAGCAAACAGGAUUAGAUACCCUGGUAGUCCACGCCCUAAACGAUGUCAACUAGCUGUUGGGGCCUUCGGGCCUUGGUAGCGCAGCUAACGCGUGAAGUUGACCGCCUGGGGAGUACGGUCGCAAGAUUAAAACUCAAAGGAAUUGACGGGGACCCGCACAAGCGGUGGAUGAUGUGGAUUAAUUCGAUGCAACGCGAAAAACCUUACCUACCCUUGACAUGUCUGGAAUCCCGAAGAGAUUUGGGAGUGCUCGCAAGAGAACCGGAACACAGGUGCUGCAUGGCUGUCGUCAGCUCGUGUCGUGAGAUGUUGGGUUAAGUCCCGCAACGAGCGCAACCCUUGUCAUUAGUUGCUACGAAAGGGCACUCUAAUGAGACUGCCGGUGACAAACCGGAGGAAGGUGGGGAUGACGUCAAGUCCUCAUGGCCCUUAUGGGUAGGGCUUCACACGUCAUACAAUGGUCGGGACAGAGGGUUGCCAACCCGCGAGGGGGGAGCCAAUCCCAGAAACCCGGUCGUAGUCCGGAUCGCAGUCUGCAACUCGACUGCGUGAAGUCGGAAUCGCUAGUAAUCGCGGAUCAGCAUGUCGCGGUGAAUACGUUCCCGGGUCUUGUACACACCGCCCGUCACACCAUGGGAGUGGGUUUUACCAGAAGUAGUUAGCCUAACCGCAAGGGGGGCGAUUACCACGGUAGGAUUCAUGACUGGGGUGAAGUCGUAACAAGGUAGCCGUAUCGGAAGGUGCGGCUGGAUCACCUCCUUU
rnacentral:rRNA from 1 species